UACGUAGGGCGCAAGCGUUGUCCGGAAUUAUUGGGCGUAAAGAGCUCGUAGGCGGUCUGUCGCGUCGGAUGUGAAAGCCCGGGGCUUAACCCCGGGUCUGCAUUCGAUACGGGCAGACUAGAGUGUUGCAGGGGAGACUGGAAUUCCUGGUGUAGCGGUGAAAUGCGCAGAUAUCAGGAGGAACACCGGUGGCGAAGGCGGGUCUCUGGGCAACAACUGACGCUGAGGAGCGAAAGCGUGGGGAGCGAACAGA
rnacentral:rRNA from 1 species